rnacentral:tmRNA from 1 species
GGGGGUGUAUUUGGUUUCGACAGUAUUUUAGAAGUAUAAAUUGCGAGUAGUGGAUGGUCGCUUUGGCCACUAUAAAAAAGCGAAUUUAAAUAUAAACGCUGAUAAUAGACAAUUAGCAUUCGCAGCUUAGUUCUGCGACGUCUUACCUUAGAGCCCACUGCUUUGGAUAAGGCGACGACUAGUGGGAAACAAAACAAUUUCUUGCCAUAGAAAUUGUGGGUAUCUUUAUGGCUACUACAAUAUUACGGUUGUUUGUUCCUGUAAUAUUGUAGGAAUUUUAAGAACAAACUACACUCGUAGAUAUUUAUAUGGAAAAGGUAUUGGACAGGAGUUCGACUCUCCUCACCUCCACCA